GAUUCGUCUCAGAACAGAGGCAAAUCCAAAGCAAACAUCCGAAAGACAAAUGAUGACAAAAGGAAAAAUAAAAUAUACAUUAAACCUAGUCGCCAUGUGGAUCCGUUCACCACAGUUACCCUUGACUGGCCAGAUGACAAUGAUAAUUCUACCUUCACCUGGGAAUGUGGGGCUUGCUGGCCUGGGUGGCAGGAAUGUCUGCAUCAUCAAGUAAUUCCCACUGACCAGAGCAUGGCACAGAUCCCAC
rnacentral:lncRNA from 1 species